rnacentral:rRNA from 1 species
AACGUAGGAGACAAACGUUAUCCGGAGUUACUGGGCGUAAAGGGAGCGUAGGCGGGUUAUCAAGUUGGAGGUGAAAGCCCAGGGCUCAACCUUGGAAUUGCCUUCAAAACUGAUAGCCUAGAGUAUGAUAGAGGUAUGUGGAACUCCGAGUGUAGAGGUGAAAUUCGUAGAUAUUCGGAAGAACACCAGUGGCGAAGGCGACAUACUGGGUCAUGACUGACGCUGAGGCUCGAAAGCGUGGGGAGCAAACAGG